rnacentral:rRNA from 1 species
AUUAGAACGCUGGCGGCAUGCCUUACACAUGCAAGUCGAACGGCAGCACGGGAGCAAUCCUGGUGGCGAGUGGCGAACGGGUGAGUAAUAUAUCGGAACGUGCCCGGUCGUGGGGGAUAACGUAGACGAAAGCUACGCUAAUACCGCAUACGAUCUACGGAUGAAAGCGGGGGAUCGCAAGACCUCGCGCGAUUGGAGCGGCCGAUAUCAGAUUAGGUAGUUGGUGAGGUAAAGGCUCACCAAGCCGACGAUCUGUAGCUGGUCUGAGAGGACGACCAGCCACACUGGGACUGAGGCACGGCCCAGACUCCUACGGGAGGCAGCAGGUGGGGAAUUUUGGACAAUGGGCGCAAGCCUGAUCCAGCAAUGCCGCGUGCAGGAUGAAGGCCUUCGGGUUAGUAAACUGUCUUUUGUACGGAACGAAACGGUGAGCUCUAAUACAGUUUGCUAAUGACGGUACCGUAAGAAUAAGCACCGGCUAACUACGUG